UGAGGAAUAUUGGUCAAUGGGCGAGAGCCUGAACCAGCCAAGUCGCGUGAGGGAAGACGGUCCUACGGAUUGUAAACCUCUUUUGUCGGGGAACAACAGGGGGCACGCGUGCCUUUGUGAGUGUACCCGAAGAAAAGCAUCGGCUAACUCCGUGCCAGCAGCCGCGGUAAUACGGAGGAUGCGAGCGUUAUCCGGAUUCAUUGGGUUUAAAGGGUGCGUAGGUUGCCGAUUAAGUCAGCGGUGAAAGUCAGUGGCUCAACCAUUGAACUGCCGUUGAAACUGGUUGGCUUGAGUACGUACGGGGCAGGCGGAAUGCGUGGUGUAGCGGUGAAAUGCAUAGAUAUCACGCAGAACCCCGAUCGCGAAGGCAGCCUGCCAGGCCGUGACUGACACUGAUGCACGAAAGCGUGGGUAUCGAACAGGAUUAGAUACCCUGGUAGU
rnacentral:rRNA from 1 species